rnacentral:rRNA from 1 species
AGAGUUUGAUCCUGGCUCAGAACGAACGCUGGCGGCGUGGUUAAGACAUGCAAGUCGCACGGACCACUUGAUUGAGUAAUCGAGAUAGUGGUUAGUGGCGGAAGGGUGAGUAAUGCGUAGGUAACGUACCCUUAACUCUGGGAUAGCUGCGGUCUUCGGACCUUUAGCGAAAGUGCAGGUAAUACCGGAUUAUAUCCUGAUGUCGUAUGGCAUUUGGAUCAAAGGCUUCGGCCGGUUUUGGAGCGGCCUACGUCGUAUCAGCUUGUUGGUGAGGUAAUGGCUCACCAAGGCAUCGACGCGUAGCGGGACUGAGAGGUUGGCCCGUCACAUCGGGACUGAGACACUGCCCGGACCCCCACGGGGGGCUGCAGUAACGAAUCUUGCGCAAUGGACGAAAGUCUGACGCAGCGACGCCGCGUGUAGGAUGAAGCCCCUCGGGGUGUAAACUACUGUUAGGGUGAAGAAAGGCUUCGGCUUGAUCGAACCCUGAGGAAGGACCGGCUAACUUCGUGCCAGCAGCCGCGGUAAUACGAAGGGUCCAAGCGUUGUUCGGAAUUACUGGGCUUAAAGAGCACGUAGGCGGAAAACUAAGUGUCUUGUGAAAUCCCUCGGCUCAACCGAGGAACUGCUUGGCAUACUGGUUUUCUUGAGGCAAGUAGAGGCGCGUAGAACUCUGGGUGGAGCGGUGAAAUGCGUAGAUAUCUAGAGGAAUGCCUGUGGAGAAGUCGGCGCGCUGGGCUUGACCUGACGCUGAGGUGCGAAAGCGUGGGUAGCGAACAGGAUUAGAUACCCUGGUAGUCCACGCUGUAAACGAUGUCUACUAGGUCGUGGAGGUUCUGACACCGUCGCGGCCGGAGCAAAAGUAUUAAGUAGACCGCCUGGGGAGUACGGUCGCAAGGCUAAAACUCAAAGGAAUUGACGGGGGCUCACACAAGCGGUGGAGCAUGUGGCUUAAUUCGAAUCAACGCGAAGAACCUUAUCCUGGGUUUGACAUGCUUGGAUGCCUGCUAUGAAAGUAGUUAGGCUGCCUUCGGGUGAAACAUGCACAGGUGCUGCAUGGCUGUCGUCAGCUCGUGUCGUGAGAUGUUGGGUUAAGUCCCUUAACGAGCGAAACCCUUAUCGUUAGUUACCAGCGCGUAAUGGCGGGACCUCUAGCGAGACUGCCGGUGUUAAACCGGAGGAAGGUGGGGAUGACGUCAAGUCCUCAUGGCCUUUAUGCCCAGGGCUGCACACGUGCUACAAUGGCGACUACAAACCGACGCGAUACCGUGAGGUGGAGCAAAUCGGAAAAAGGUCGUCUCAGUUCGGGUUGUAGGCUGCAACUCGCCUACAUGAAGUUGGAAUCGCUAGUAAUCGCAGAUCAGCAUGCUGCGAUGAA